rnacentral:rRNA from 1 species
UACAGAGGGUGCAAGCGUUGUUCGGAAUUACUGGGCGUAAAGCGCGUGUAGGCGGUUUGGUAAGUCAGACGUGAAAUCCCUCGGCUCAACUGAGGAACUGCGUCUGAUACUGCUAGACUAGAGUGUCGGAGGGGAUGGUGGAAUUCCUGGUGUAGAGGUGAAAUUCGUAGAGAUCAGGAGGAACACCUGUGGCGAAGGCGACCAUCUGGAAGACAACUGACGCUGAGACGCGAAAGCGUGGGUAGCAAACAGG